UCUUAUCAGGUGUGUUCUUAACAACAUCAUUGUCUUGGACAUGGGAUGUAUCUGCAUUCACAUUUCCAAUAGUUUGCAGAUUCAUUCUUUUUAGGCUUUCCUGGGCCUGGGCUCUUUUUCUUAUAAUCAUAUCAUUGGCUUUGUUUAAGGACAGUCCAGUCCUUCCUACAGCUACACAUUGUGUUACAUUAACAAAAAUAUGAUCAAAUUAUUUCAAUUGUAUUCACUAAUCAUACCAAACAUAAAAAGCUUUUUUUGAAUUUGAAAUUGAGACAUAAGCAUCAUAACAAAUCAAAAAAAUAUUACUCAAAUCAUUUCAAAUACAACAAGACAUCUUAAGUUUAUUAUUGUACUCACCUUUUCCAGAUUGAGAAACAGGUACAGCUGUGUCUCCAGUAGAUUUAUCCACUACCGCAACGUUUUUUGUUGUAGCCCUCGUAUCUGAAAGUAUAUUCCAGAUUAGUGCUGCUUUUAUAGAAAUAUUUUGCAAACACUAAAUACAAUGACAUUCUUAUAAACUCAUAGUAUCCACCACUGAUCUCACCAAUUUUUUUCCACAAACAAUUCAUACUUUCAAAAUAUCAGUUAGAGAUCCAGAUGCCCGAGUAUUCACCAUUGCCGUAGUUGAUUGUUGGAUCUUCCUAUUCGUUGAUUGGUGGGAUCGGGAUAGAUUUUCUGGGCUGGAGCGCUUAUUGUGGAUGGCCGAUUUAGGUGAACUAUCUGACGAAUCUUCAAUCGAACAAAGAGUGGUUUGAGUUUCUAAUUGUUUUGCCGCUUCAGAAUUUACAGAGCCAAAUCAACAAAAAAUCCUCCAACAAAAAAUCGUCGCGGCUCAAAAUCGACGUCUCGUCCACAAAUUCGUCGUCUCCUCCACAAAAACGUCGCCUCUUCCAGAAAAUCGUUUCCUCUACAAAAACCCUAUUCCUACUCCAGAAAAUCGACGAAGAAGGGGAACCAAAUACCUAAUUCAACAAUGGUCAACACUCGAGCAACUGGAUCUGCUAGUCAUGACGGAUAAGUGUAUCAGAGAACGAACGCGAAGAAGAAGAUAUCGCGGAUCCAAAAAGCACCGAAAGGUAAGUCGAUUUCACAUUGUGGGAUUUGGAUGCAUGUAGUUUUGUUUCGAUUUUGGAACUUUGGUAUUUAAUGGUGGUUUUUGUUUCAUAAGCAAAAUGCCAAAUUUCCACAAAACCCUCAACUGAAGUGAUUCCUGCUAGCCAUGACAUAAAUCAAGGUUAAAGUUAUAUAUUUGAGCACUGUUGUGUAUGAGAAUUAUGUAAUUUGUAAUGGUGCAGUGACAAUGUGGAACCCAGGGCCAGCUUAUUUUGCACGAUGUGUAACCAUAUAUUUCCAUGACCCAAAUAUUUGUUUAGUAUGACACAAAAGCAUAGCUGAUGGUUUUUGGUUAUUGUUAGUGUAUUCUCCGGUCGUAUGACCUAGGGCCUGCUUAUUAUGGCCCAAGUUAACCAUA